AAAAACAUCCGCAACCCUAAAAAUAGUAGCGGGUCUUUUAUUUCACACUCCCUCCAAUUUUUUCCCCUAGAAACUUCCGCCCCACCAUAUACACCAAAAACUCCCGCUGAACUCGUCCAUCCCUUCAAUCCCCAGCGUUACCGCCUCCGCAUUUUCUCCCGUUGCCGCCACCAGCCACCGGCAUAUGUACUCCGUUACUGCCGUCUUCACCCGCCAAAACCCUAGAUUCCGCUAGCUAGUCGAAGUCCUCUGCUCAAUAGUUUUACACCUCCAUUAAUCGAAGUUCUCUGCUUCUUUUUUGAAGUUCUCCGCUUCAAUCAAAGGUCUGUUUUAGUCGAAGUUCUCUGCUUCAAUUGCCAUUGCGUUUACACCUCCCAGGUUUUCUCUUUCUUUCCUCAUUUCCCCUCCUUGGUUUUCUGUUAAUUUUGAAUUUUUGUGUGUAAUUUAGUCGAUUUGUGUGAUUAAAUAAUGUUUGAUAUUAAAUUAUUGUGUGUAUUAAAUGGUCGAUCUGUAUGAUCUUUUGUGUGUUUUUUCGUUGAUUUCUUUGUGCUUUUGGUAGUUCUCCAUUACCACUGCUUACGGAGGCUCACUGAGUGAACUGUAGUGAAUCAAUGUUCUUGUAGUCGGUAUUGGACUUUAUAUAUAGUUAGCAUUCAGCUUGUUCUGAAGAUGUACAAGGAGAACAAUUUAUAUUCUAUGAGAACCAUUACCGAAUGGUGGUGUAAGAUUUAUUAAAGUAAUGUACAUAACUGACUCUUUUGUUUUAAUUAAAAUAUCUUUUGUAGUGUAUGGCAUUGUAAUAUCAAAAUUAUAUGAAUGAUUGUGAGAUGUAUGAAAAGUUAAUAUUCUCUAUGUAGAUAACUGCUGACCAAAGAUAAAUUACCGACAUUUCUAUGUAUGAAGAAAUGAAGAAUAAUAUUUGCUGACAUUUCUUUAUAUGUCGCAGCUUUAUUGAGCUUAUAUUCAAAUUGUUGACAUUUUGAUCAUUCAAAAAUGUCACUAUUCAUUUGCCAACAUUACAUUAAACGUCGGAAAAUUCCCGACACCGAAAUUUACGACAUUUGAUAUAUGUCAAAUAAAUAUUGGUAAAUAAUUUUGUGACAUUUUGUCACUUAACAUGACAUUUAAAAAAUGUCAUCGUAAUCCUAUUUUCUUGUAGUGUUUGAACGCCCUUUCUUCAAUCUAACUCUGAUUGUAGGAUCUCUUUUAUAGUUUGAGGUCCAGAUGCUUGGUUAUAUUCUUGUUUUUGCUCAUAUGUUGAAAAUGAAAUUGAUCAAAAUUUAAAAUUGUAAUACAUUGGUGCUUUCAUUGUUACAUUAACUGCUCACUUGCAAAAUUUGGACAUUGCUAUUGAUUCUGCUACUAUGCUUGUAAUUGUAUUUGUGUAGUUUCCUUCACUGCUCCGAUGAGCAUGACCUCUAUUACAUUUGUGUUGUGCUACUUGAACCUGGAGGUUAUUGACAAAUACUGGGCAUAAAAUCAACAUACAAGAAAUUCCCUUUAGAGCUUAUUUCCCCUCUUGUUAUCGUGAUUUUGUAUAUUGUCUAGUAAAUUACGUCUGUUGGAAUCUAUUGUUAAAUUAUCUAUUGUCAGUGUGCUUGUUAAGAUUUGGUUUAUUACACUUUAUUUUGGGUAAGAUAAUAUUUAAGACUGUAAUAUUUUAUGAACAAUACUUAUACAUUUUUUACUGUGAAUUUUUCUUUUGAGAAUAAAUUUUUAUUGUGAAUUUUUAUAAAGAACUAAUAUUUUCUCUUUAUAUUCUAAAAGGUCCAUCAGUUGGACUUGAAGGUUAAUACUUUUCUAUGAAUAAAUCUUGGACUAAUAAGUCAAGGAACUCCAGGGAAUAUUUAGUUGGUUUAAAUCAAUUUUUAGAUUUUGCAUUUGCUAAUGCUGUUGCUGGAGAUAGAAUAAAGUGUCCAUAUCCUAAAUGUGGAUUCACAAAGUGGAAGACUAGAGAGGUAGCAUUCGAACAUUUGAUUUGUAAACCAUUCCGUGAGAAUUAUGUCACUUGGACUAUUCAUGGUAAAAGAAAUAUACUACCUAAUUCUAUAAAUAAUAUGGUUAUACAAGAUACAUUACCUCCUGAAAAUCCAAUUGAAUUAUUGAUUAAUGAAGCAUUUGGGGGCCUAAGGCAAGAUGGGGUUGAUGUAGGUCUGUCACAAGUAGCGGGUGGUGAAG
rnacentral:lncRNA from 1 species